UACACUUGUUUGCUCAUGGCAUUGAUACUAUUAAAAUCCAAGUUUCUAAUUGUCUGUAUGUUUAUUUGAAGAAUAAAGUUUUCCUUUUCACUGUGGCAUUUCAAAUUCCCAUGUAAUUAAUUGUGUUACUUAUCUUAGCCUUGGAUUUUGCAGGCUGUUGAAAUAAAGCCAUUCUUUUGAGAACUAAACCUAUCGGCUAUUUGAUGAAAUUGAGGUAAUUAGUAGCCAUGGGUUCAAUAGCAAUUGACCGAGUGGUCUGAUCAAUAUGCCUCAGACUUGGCUUUGAUGAUCUGAUCUUUGCUUUGGCAAUCAAACACAAAGUU